rnacentral:hammerhead_ribozyme from 1 species
ACUGUGACGAGUCCCGAAUAGGACGAAACGCGCGUUCUGAAU